rnacentral:lncRNA from 1 species
AAUAUCACCAGCUUAGGACAAUGAAGAUUUGUUCAUUGCUGAUGUAAAAGUUACACAAAGGGUCAGGUGGUUCUUGUGGAGGUUCUCCUUUAAGUAGUUUCUUCCAAUUCGUGGUCUCCAGGGUCUCAUUGGAGGAGUUUGCAUGACAGGGAGGUUUAUGAUCAGACCCAGAAAUAGCAACAGAAUUUCCACUCCAUUUCUUUUACCAGAAACUGGUCCUACAGUCACAACACACCUUCAAGGUGUGCUGGAAAAUGCUUGAUCAAUCUCCCCUCUGGGAGGAGCAGGAAAAGAAAAUGUCUUCAUUCCGACUGCCUUACCACACCCUUUGUAGCCCUCAAAAGAGGCAAAAUUUAAGUUUAAUUUGGCCUCAAGCUGAUAGUGUUUUUGGGUGCUGUAGAGAAGACACGAAAACAGCUUCUGAAAGAUUGAAAUUUAAACAACUAAGCUUCACAUUUAAGAGGGAAAAGAAGUUUACAAGGAAACUGAGCUCAUAAACAAACAAAAUCACUGAGCCUGAAAAAGUAAGACAUCACUAGCAAAAAAAAAA